rnacentral:rRNA from 1 species
CACGAAGUCGGAAUUGCUAGUAAUGGCAGGUCAGCAUACUGCCGUGAAUACGUUCCCGGACCUUGUACACACCGCCCGUCACACCAUGAGAGUUAGGAAUACCUGAAGCCUGUGAGCCAACUUUAUAAGAGGCAGCAGUCGAAGGUAGAACUAAUGAUUGGGGUGAAGUCGUAACAAGGUAGC